rnacentral:lncRNA from 1 species
CGCAGGUUAAGUUUGCCGUCGAAAAAAAAUACAUCUUGGGUAUUUCAUCGAACAGUUGGUAGGCGUGGUGCGUUGCGCAACUCCGAUUGCGUUGGAAUCGCAACAGAGAGUUGGAAGUCGCGGCUAUGAUAGAGUCGGUGUAGUGGCAAGGUCGAAGGUAAAGAAAUCGACGAGGUCGUCGGGCAUCAACUCGGGAUGGACGCCGACAUUCCGCAGCAUCCGCAGCAGGUACUCUAACAGCACCACUUCGCGCACGAUGAUCACUGCCGACGACAUCCCCUCUCCUCCGUCCGAGCGCUCGAUGAGGACGCGGAAGAGCGGGUGGUCGAUGAGGUCGGAGCUGACCAGGUACCGGCGUUGGGACUUGUCGACAUAGAUUGGGUGUAGCCCGCGCGACACGACGUCCAAAUGCUUGUCGACGGCGCUGUCGGCAUCAAAUUUUGGCUCCUCCAACCGCUGCU